GUUCCCGUAGUCUAGUGGUUAUGACGUUUGCUUUACACGCAAAAGGUCCUUGGUUCGACCCCGAGCGGGAGCA